rnacentral:rRNA from 1 species
GACGAACGCUGGCGGCGUGCCUAAUACAUGCAAGUAGAACGCUGAAGAGAGGAGCUUGCUCCUCUUGGAUGAGUUGCGAACGGGUGAGUAACGCGUAGGUAACCUGCCUGGUAGCGGGGGAUAACUAUUGGAAACGAUAGCUAAUACCGCAUGAUAUUGAAUAUCGCAUGAUAAUUAAUUGAAAGAUGCAAUUGCAUCACUACCAGAUGGACCUGCGUUGUAUUAGCUAGUUGGUGAGGUAACGGCUCACCAAGGCGACGAUACAUAGCCGACCUGAGAGGGUGAUCGGCCACACUGGGACUGAGACACGGCCCAGACUCCUACGGGAGGCAGCAGUAGGGAAUCUUCGGCAAUGGGGGGAACCCUGACCGAGCAACGCCGCGUGAGUGAAGAAGGUUUUCGGAUCGUAAAGCUCUGUUGUAAGAGAAGAACGGGUGUGAGAGUGGAAAGUCACACUGUGACGUAUCUACCAGAAAG